UGAUAACUAAACCGCUUCCCACGAAGAAAUCAGACUCAACUUGUAAUGUUGCGCUAUACACAGUUCCAUAUUCAUGAGCAGUGCCAGCAAAUUCUAUGAUUGUCUUCUCAGGUACUCCGACAAACGAAACAAAGGGCUUAUCUUUUUCAACGGUAAUUUUCUCGGUAUAGGUUCCAGGUCCAAUAUCCACAAUCACGCGUUGUGCAUUUUUGGCUGGAAUGCUCUUAACAGCAUCUGUUAUAGUCUUGAACUCUCCACUUCCGUCUGCUCUCACCGUAAUAGUUUUGGGAGUAGCUUCAGCUGCUUCAAGGUCAGCAUUUAAAGUGCCCUUACGAUCUGCCAA